rnacentral:rRNA from 1 species
GACGAACGCUGGCGGCGUGCCUAAUACAUGCAAGUUGAGCGCUGAAGGUUGGUACUUGUACCAACUGGAUGAGCAGCGAACGGGUGAGUAACGCGUGGGGAAUCUGCCUUUGAGCGGGGGACAACAUUUGGAAACGAAUGCUAAUACCGCAUAAAAACUUUAAACACAAGUUUUAAGUUUGAAAGAUGCAAUUGCAUCACUCAUAGAUGAUCCCGCGUUGUAUUAGCUAGUUGGUGAGGUAAAGGCUCACCAAGGCGAUGAUACAUAGCCGACCUGAGAGGGUGAUCGGCCACAUUGGGACUGAGACACGGCCCAAACUCCUACGGGAGGCAGCAGUAGGGAAUCUUCGGCAAUGGACGAAAGUCUGACCGAGCAACGCCGCGUGAGUGGAGAAGGUUUUCGGAUCGUAAAACUCUGUUGGUAGAGAAGAACGUUGGUGAGAGUGGAAAGCUCAUCAAGUGACGGUAACUACCCAGAAAGGGACGGCUAACUACGUG